rnacentral:rRNA from 1 species
UACGUAGGGGGCAAGCGUUGUCCGGAUUUACUGGGCGUAAAGCGCGUGUAGGCGGCUACGCAGGUCCGUUGUGAAAACUGGAGGCUCAACCUCCAGACGUCGACGGAAACCGUGUGGCUAGAGUCCGGAAGAGGAGAGUGGAACUCCUGGUGUAGCGGUGAAAUGCGCAGAUAUCAGGAAGAACACCAAUGGCGAAGGCAGCUCUCUGGGACGGUACUGACGCUGAGACGCGAAAGCGUGGGGAGCGAACAGG